AAUGAACGCUGGCGGCGCGCCUAAUACAUGCAAGUCGAGCGAGAAGACGUAGCAAUACGUUUGUAAAGCGGCGAACGGGUGAGGAAUACAUGGGUAACCUACCCUAGAGUGGGGAAUAACUAGCCGAAAGGUUAGCUAAUACCGCGUACGCUCCUUGGACUUCGGUUCAGGGAGGAAAGCGAUGCCGAGGGUAUCGCGCUCUUGGAUGGGCUCAUGUCCUAUCAGCUUGUUGGGAGGUGACGGCUCACCAAGG
rnacentral:rRNA from 1 species